AAAAGAUGAAUACCUUGGUUUUUAGGGUUUUUUUUGUUUAGCUGAUGGCCCCCCUAUUAAUUUUCCUCCACCACCGCAGCCUCUAAAUUUUUCUCCUCCCCUUUUUUUUUUCAGUGUAGCAUGGUAUUUAUAAGACAAGUAUUGCUAGGUUUUCAAAUUAGUCCCUCAACUUUUCUUUUUCUUUUUUGGUAAAUUUUGGUUUUUCUUA